rnacentral:sRNA from 1 species
GUGUGGUAUAAGAAUGCUUAGUUUACCAUUCUGUUUUUCAGUGUUUAGUUUAGCUAUGUCGUAUGUGGAAAUCUUAGCGAAUUUUAACCUGAAUUUCCAAUUUGACCGCUACAUUUCCAGUGGUCUAAGGUGAUUGGAAUUGAGUGAUUUAUUGUAUGAAUGAUUGGGGAUCAUUCAGUGCUAAUCUUGUUGAUCUAUUUGUUGUGGUUUAUUUGGCAUGGUUCUCCCCUCACCUGACAUUGUGAAUUAGUAGAAACAUUUCCAAAUUAACCCUUUUCGGUAUUUAUUUUUCAGCUCCUCUUUUGACUUGGACUAUGACUUUCAACGGGACUAUUAUGAUAGGAUGUACAGUUACCCAGCACGUGUACCUCCUCCUCCUCCUAUUGCUCGGGCUGUCGUGCCCUCGAAACGUCAGCGUGUAUCAGGAAACACUUCACGAAGGGGCAAAAGUGGCUUCAAUUCUAAGAGUGGACAGCGGGGAUCUUCCAAGUCUGGAAAGUUGAAAGGAGAUGACCUUCAGGCCAUUAAGAAGGAGCUGACCCAGAUAAAACAAAAAGUGGAUUCUCUCCUGGAAAACCUGGAAAAAAUUGAAAAGGAACAGAGCAAACAAGCAGUAGAGAUGAAGAAUGAUAAGUCAGAAGAGGAGCAGAGCAGCAGCUCCGUGAAGAAAGAUGAGACUAAUGUGAAGAUG